GGUGGAGCGAUUUGUCUGGUUAAUUCCGAUAACGAACGAGACUCUAGCCUACUAAAUAGUCGGUGAAUUUCUUGUAUGUUCACGCGACUUCUUAGAGGGACAAGAGGUGUCUAGCCUCACGAGAUUGAGCAAUAACAGGUCUGUGAUGCCCUUAGAUGUCCGGGGCUGCACGCGCGCUACACUGAAGGAGUCAGCGUGCAAUGUACCUUGUCUGGAAAGACUGGGUAACCCAAUCAAACUCCUUCGUGAUUGGGAUAGGGAAUUGUAAUUAUUUCCCUUGAACGAGGAAUUCCUAGUAAAUGCGGGUCAUCAUCUCGCGUUGAAUACGUCCCUGCCCUUUGUAC
rnacentral:rRNA from 1 species